GAUGAACGCUUGCGGGAGGCCUAACACAUGCAAGCCGAGCGGUAUUGUUUCUUCGGAAAUGAGAGAGCGGCGUACGGGUGAGGAACACGUGUGCAACCUGCCUUUAUCUGGGGGAUAGCCUUUCGAAAGGAAGAUUAAUACUCCAUAAUAUAUUGAACGGCAUCGUUUAAUAUUGAAAGCUCCGGCGGAUAGUGAUGGGCACGCGCAAGAUUAGCUAGUUGGUGAGGUAACGGCUCACCAAGGCGAUGAUCUUUAGGGGGCCUGAGAGGGUGAUCCCCCACACUGGUACUGAGACACGGACCAGACUCCUACGGGAGGCAGCAGUGAGGAAUAUUGGUCAAUGGGUGCAAGCCUGAACCAGCCAUCCCGCGUGAAGGACGACUGCCCUAUGGGUUGUAAACUUCUUUUGUAUAGGGAUAAACCUACCCUCGUGAGGGUAGCUGAAGGUACUAUACGAAUAAGCACCGGCUAACUCCGUGCCAGCAGCCGCGGCAAUACGGAGGGUGCAAGCGUUAUCCGGAUUUAUUGGGUUUAAAGGGUCCGUAGGCGGACUUAUAAGUCAGUGGUGAAAGCCUGUCGCUUAACGAUAGAACUGCCAUUGAUACUGUAAGUCCUGAGUAUAUUUGAGGUAGCUGGAAUAAGUAGUGUAGCGGUGAAAUGCAUAGAUAUUACUUAGAACACCAAUUGCGAAGGCAGGUUACCAAGAUAUAACUGACGCUGAGGGACGAAAGCGUGGGGAGCGAACAGGAUUAGAUACCCUGGUAGUCCACGCCGUAAACGAUGCUAACUCGUUUUUGGGCUUCAGGGUUCAGAGACCAAGCGAAAGUGAUAAGUUAGCCACCUGGGAAGUACGCUCGCAAGAGUGAAACUCAAAGGAAUUGACGGGGGCCCGCACAAGCGGUGGAUUAUGUGGUUUAAUUCGAUGAUACGCGAGGAACCUUACCAAGACUUAAAUGGGAAUUGACAGCUUUAGAAAUAGAGCUUUCUUCGGACAAUUUUCAAGGUGCUGCAUGGUUGUCGUCAGCUCGUGCCGUGAGGUGUUAGGUUAAGUCCUGCAACGAGCGCAACCCCUGUCACUAGUUGCCAUCAUUCAGUUGGGGACUCUAGUGAGACUGCCUACGCAAGUAGAGAGGAAGGUGGGGAUGACGUCAAAUCAUCACGGCCCUUACGUCUUGGGCCACACACGUAAUACAAUGGCCGGUACAGAGGGCAGCUACACAGCGAUGUGAUGCAAAUCUCGAAAGCCGGUCUCAGUUCGGAUUGGAGUCUGCAACUCGACUCUAUGAAGCUGGAAUCGCUAGUAAUCGCGCAUCAGCCAUGGCGCGGUGAAUACGUUCCCGGGCCU
rnacentral:rRNA from 1 species